UUCUUGCAGGAGAAGAGUGAAUCAUAACUUUUUAUCUUAAAAAAUAUAUGCAACCAGGGUAUACAUUGUGCUGAUAUAUGGACCAGUGCUCAGUGUUGCACUAUUUCAGUUCUGCUUGUGAAGCUGGACCUCUGGUCUGUGCAGCUGGAAGACAAAUAAAUUCUGGAUUUGGAAGGAUUAUUCCUGAGCUACAGGAAUACAACUUGUUUAUAGCGCACAAGAUGCAGCAGAAGGAUGUGAAGUCUUUGCCUUGAUCUUGCAGAGGAGGGAUAACAGGAGCCUGAGC
rnacentral:lncRNA from 1 species